AAAAAAUAGUCUUGUCCACUUUUGGCUAUCUCAAGAUGAACAUGGAGCUCUCCAGCAGAGGAAAUGUCUAGGAGGAUAAGAGAGAUGAGGAACCUCUGGAAAAAGCAGCUUGCCCCUAGUAUGUCAGGUCUACAAGAGAGGGGAGACAUUGGAUGGAGUGUUCUAUGUGGCAGGGAGACCUCCACUCAGCAGGACACGACCUGGGAAGAUCAGAAAACCCAUUGGUUUAAGCUACAAAUAGAGAAGAUGUUGAAACACAGAGAAGGCAUAAGAACUAAAGGGAGACACAACCAAGAAGAAGCAAAGAUGGAAGACCAUGCAGGAGUGGACUGAGCACAGAGUGGGAGGGUGACAGCAAGGCUCUUGGUGUCAGGGAAUGACUGAAAAGAAUAAAGCCAAAGAACUCGUACUCAAGGAGAUGGAAGCCUCAAGAGGGCCGAAGCAAUGGAAGCUUGACUUAGGGUGGGGGUGUCCUUCAACUUUGUGGAAUUAUGCUACAAGGCUGUAUUUGCCAAUUUUCACACUGCUAUAAAGAACUAUCUGAAGCUGGGUAAUUUAUAAAGAAAAGAGGUUUAAGUGACUCACAGUUCCACAUGGCUGGGGAGGCGUCAUGAAACUUACAAUCAUGGCGGAAGGUAAAGGGGAAGCAAGGCACGUCUUAUAUGGUGGCAGGAGAGAGCGAGAGUGAGGAAGUGCCACACAUUAAAACCAUCAGCUCUGGUGAGAACUCACUCACUCUCAUGAGAACAGCAGGAAGAAAGCUGCCCCCAUGAUCUGAUAACCUCCUGCCAGGUCCCUCCCUCAACACAUGGGGAUUACAAUUCAAGAUGAGAAUAGGGUGGGGACACAGAGCCAAACUCUAUCAAAGGCAUUCUGCUGAUCCCUACCACCUGCCAGGCCCUGUCCAUUGUCUGCAGCAUGAGCCAUAAGCAUCAGCCCAUCAAAAAUGUUCAUUCCCACCUCCCAGCUUCAUCCUUGUACCUCCACUUCCUGUCCUGAAAGAGUUGGAGUUAACUGGUGAACUUAAUACAAUUGGGGGUGAGGGUUGGGGGGGCAGAGCGGGCAGAAGGGGGAAACAAGCAGAAGAUUUAAAAUGAGUAGGCUGAGGCUUUAGUUCCAGUCCUAAAAUCUAGGUGACUUUGGGCAAGUUGUUCCUCCUCUCUGGUCCCUUAUUAGUUCCUAUUUAAAUGUCGGCAUUGAAGUUAAUCUUCUUGAGGUCUGUUCCAGCUCUAAUGGAUGUUUUCUAAGGCAGUCUAAUACAAUAGAUACAAGCAUGCUUUUCACACAUAAAAGCUACUGUUGAUUCAUUUGAUAAUAACAUUCACACAUAAAAGCUAUUAGUGAUUAAUUUAAUAAAAUUCCAGGCUUUUAAUCCAUACUGGUUUAGCUUGAAGUAUGGAGGUGUGAAUUUAGGUAGUGUGUCAGGGAGAUUACUCAUCCCAGACAGGUGGUUUGGGUGUGUCCCAGCAGGGGCAAUCAGACCUGUCUGGGUCAUUCAGCCACCCACCACAUAUCUGCAGAGCACAGACUCACGCUUGAGUCAGAUGCUCCCAGAUCACCAUACUCUAACAAUUAGCCACACCACAGCCAUUUGUCUUAAAUUAACUUAGAGCGUGUUAGCUGAAGCCUAAUUAAACAUUGGCAGUUGCUUAGGAAAAACAAUUAAAAAGUCACUCAGCAAUACCAUCUUGUCAUUACAGAAAGCUUUAAUAGGCGGGACUUGCAAAAUAUGGAAAAUCUUUCCCUCACAUGUGUGCUGGCUUCUGCAAUAGCUAAUGGACUCAUCUAGAAUAACACCCUGCCAAGGGUCUUUGAUGGGACAGCUGUUCUAACAAGGCAGCUCUCAGGAAUAUCAGGUGUUCAGGGUUUUUUCUACAGCUGGCAGUAAACAAAAAAAGAAAAGCAAAUUUUGUUUUAUUCAUCACAACAGCUGGAGAAUGUAUAGAAAAUACUCAAACCACAAAAUAACAAAUGCAAUCCAAACAUCCCCAAUUACUUCUAAAUUCUUUCUUCCACUCUACAGGCCUUUCUCUUACUUUGUAGGCAUUUGGUGGGAUUUUCCUACCUACCCGUUUCCCAAUCUCAGUUAUUUCUGACACAUUGUUGCUCCCUCAAAAUUGAAAAUUAUCCCCUCCCACUAUGCUUUGGUGCUUAAGAUUCUGAAUAUAAAGCAAUAUGACCAGCACCAUCCCUGGGCUUUCCAAAAAUGGCCUAGAGAAAAAGGCUUGUCAAAUGAAUUCUUAGUUUUUCUUGUCAGGCUGUGCUUAUGUCUCUCUUGACCUCCUGACCUGUGUAAGUUGUCUAAGGUAUUCAUUGCUUUGAGCUGUCCUUAUAAAAGUAUCAACUUGAAGCUGAUUCUGUGGUAAAUAAGAAAUAAGAAAAUCAAGUCACUGUCUCCCAAAAAGCAAUUCAGUGGCUCAGCUGAAUCUCUUCCUCCUGGUGUUUCCAUGGAACCGAAGUGGGCUGGCUCUGCCAACUUCUUUUGCCUUGAUUCCUCACUCUUUCAGCUGAUGAUAGAAUCAUUUUUGUCCCCAAAACUCACACAGGCACUAGAUUUGGGGUAUUGACUAUGUUACCAGGGAAAGCCUUCCACUGCCAUGUAGUGGGGAGUUUCCUCAGAAAGUAUAUGAAGGCCAAAGAAAGUAGGGAGGGUCCCUGCAAAUCCGCAGCAAGCCUUGCCUAAACAAAGGGAAAAGGAGGGUGCUUGGGGGUGGGGGGGCAGGUAGAGGAGGCCUCAGAUACGAUUUGAUAUCCUGUAAUCCACGGUAGGUGGCCUCUGAACUCUGCCCUGAAAAAUCUGUCAUGUUGAGACAGAAAGACACCCUGAAGGUGAGCACCUGUAGAUCUCUGAUCUCUAAGCCUCUUGCUGGACGCAUCCAAGACAAUGUGGAAUAAAGUAGCAGUUCAGGAAGUGUGUUUCCAUGCACUAGUGAAAGGUGAAAAUAUGAAAUAAACUACCCUGGGUUGGUCUUUCAUGCC